rnacentral:rRNA from 1 species
AUUGAACGCUGGCGGCAGGCCUAACACAUGCAAGUCGAACGGUAACAGGAAGAAGCUUGCUUCUUUGCUGACGAGUGGCGGACGGGUGAGUAAUGUCUGGGAAACUGCCUGAUGGAGGGGGAUAACUACUGGAAACGGUAGCUAAUACCGCAUAAUGUCGCAAGACCAAAGAGGGGGACCUUCGGGCCUCUUGCCAUCGGAUGUGCCCAGAUGGGAUUAGCUAGUAGGUGGGGUAACGGCUCACCUAGGCGACGAUCCCUAGCUGGUCUGAGAGGAUGACCAGCCACACUGGAAAUGAGACACGGUCCAGACUCCUACGGGAGGGAGCAGUGGGGAAUAUUGCACAAUGGGCGCAAGCCUGAUGCAGCGAUGCCGCGUGUAUGAAGAAGGCCUUCGGGUUGUAAAGUACUUUCAGCGGGGAGGAAGGGAGUAAAGUUAAUACCUUGGCUCAUUGACGUUACCCGCAGAAGAAGCACCGGCUAACUCCGUG